ACAUGCACAUGCACACACACACACUGACUCUACAGUAAGUUUUGGUGGUGGUGUGUGUGUGUGUGUGUGUGUGU